CCACGUGUAGCAGUGAAAUGCGUAGAUAUGUGAGGAACACCAAUGGCGAAGGCAGCCCCCUGGGAUAACACUGACGCUCAUGUACGAAAGCGUGGGUAGCAAACAGGAUUAGAUACCCUGGUAGUCCACGCCCUAAACGAUGUCAACUGGUUGUUGGGGGAGUGAAAUCCCUUAGUAACGAAGCUAACGCGUGAAGUUGACCGCCUGGGGAGUACGGUCGCAAGAUUAAAACUCAAAGGAAUUGACGGGGACCCGCACAAGCGGUGGAUGAUGUGGAUUAAUUCGAUGCAACGCGAAAAACCUUACCUACCCUUGACAUGUCCAGAACCCUGCAGAGAUGCGGGGGUGCCCGAAAGGGAAUUGGAACACAGGUGCUGCAUGGCUGUCGUCAGCUCGUGUCGUGAGAUGUUGGGUUAAGUCCCGCAACGAGCGCAACCCUUAUCAUUAGUUGCUACGCAAGGGCACUCUAAUGAGACUGCCGGUGACAAACCGGAGGAAGGUGGGGAUGACGUCAAGUCCUCAUGGCCCUUAUGGGUAGGGCUUCACACGUCAUACAAUGGUCGGUACAGAGGGUUGCCAAGCCGCGAGGUGGAGCCAAUCCCAGAAAGCCGAUCGUAGUCCGGAUUGUUCUCUGCAACUCGAGAGCAUGAAGUCGGAAUCGCUGGUAAUCGCGGAUCAGCAUGUCGCGGUGAAUACGUUCCCGGGUCUUGUACACACCGCCCGUCACACCAUGGGAGUGGAAUCUGGCAGAAGUAGGUAGCCUAACCGCGAGGAGGGCGCUACCACGC
rnacentral:rRNA from 1 species